UCUCGAACUUGCAAGGAUCCUCCUGCCUCAGCCUCCUAUUACAGACGUGCACCAUCACACCCAGCAAGGAAUCGUUUGCAAAUGCAGAUUCUUAUCCACUGGGUCUGACCGGGCCCGAUUGUGCUGCUGUGACCCUGUGCUGCUGUCUAAGGGCAGGGCUGAUGCUGCCCUCAGAACCACAGGCUGUGCAGGCGCUUGCCAGGUGGAGCUGCUGGCGACCCGCCCGCCUCUCCCCUGUGUCCACGACUGCCAGCUUCCAGGAGACUGAGACUGACUUGGUAUGGGCGUCACACCCAAAGAAAGCUACGGCCGGACAGAAGGUGGCUGCAAACACACACUUCAAGGCAGUUUCGGUGCAAGCAGUUGCUACAGGCCCUAGAGGCAGGGCCUCUGGCUGCCCUCCCCGCUUUGGCUUGGGCUACUGCGAGCCUGGGCUCCUCCCGGUCUCCGGGAGCCGGGUCUCCUCGCCAGGCCCUCCUGGGCCACAAGGCUGGUUUUGUUUGUAUGUAUGUUUGUCGUUGUUUGGCUUUUAUUUUUUGGAUGUGAUUAAAAAACCUUAAUAAGACCUAC